AGAGUGUUAUGAUGUUGGAGGCGACUCCUAGUCUAGCUCAACGCUUUCUCUGCUGAAUGCAUAUUCAGCAGAG
rfam:Enterococcus sp. 9D6_DIV0238 scaffold00003, whole genome shotgun sequence.